rnacentral:lncRNA from 12 species
UCUGCCCUAGUGGUGGCUUGCUUCACAAUGUUUACACUGUUCAGAUCUGAGACUCACCUAUGGGCUUACCUCUGUGGUCUGACAACGGGCAAAUAUUGGAAGGAUCCAAUGCUUCUUCUCUACUGGAAACUGUUUCUGGCAGCAUGUACGUGGUAAGUCUUGCACAGCUAGAGAUUCUUCAUAAAUGAUUCCAAGACCGUUUUUUUUUUUUUCAAAAGGGGCCACGUACCUACUAUAUAUGAUACCUUCUCCUCUCCCCCUCUCACCAAUCUUCUUACAUAUGUUUUGAGAUGAGAUUUUGAGAUUUUGCAUACUGGUUUUGUUAAACUUCUGAUGGGACUAAUGCCACGGCUGGGUGCAGUUGCCAGGUGAGUAAACUCAAUCUCUCUCUGUAGAGCUUUAUCAAGAGAAACAGAAAGAAUGAAUGGAGUUCUACUUGUGUGUGCUUGCCAGCAGAUUCAGGGCUGCUCAGGUCUUGGAACUGCUUCUUGUCCGAGCAAAUGGAUACUAGAAAAUUCUCACUAGGACAGAAAUGACUUGCACACCAGAUUCUUGCAUCCUUAUGCUGUUACCUGGUCAACUGCUGCUCAGUUUCCUAGUCCAGGUGUUUUCCUCACCACCUUGCCUGGCCCUCUGGCUCGUCACAUGACCACAUCCUGCCCAUCUUCUGGUCUCUGCCCACGUGCCUGGGUUUGGGGUUUGUGAGGCAGUCUGUCUGCACUCAGUCCUGGAGCAAGCGGUUGUGGCACCGCCUCCUGUAAACCUCUGGCACUAUGUGUCCUAUUUCUGACCAAACUUCUGGCUGAUGAUACCUAUCUUUCCCUUUGCUAGAAGUCCCUAGCCGGCUUCUGAAGUCACCUCCUCUCCCAAACACUCAGCCUUGCCUCACUUUUCUGAAGGCUUGUGCUUGCUUUGUCAUAUGACGCAUCCUGCUCUGGGCAGCAGACGGACAUCAUCACCAGUUCUUGUUUAAUGAUUUCUGCAUUGCUAUUGCCUAUUCAGUUAUUUGUUUCUCCAACCAUAAG